GUGCUCACUUCAGCAUCACAUAUACUAAAAUUGGAAGGACACAGAGAAGAUUAGCAUGGCCCCUGUGCAAUGAUGACAUGCAAAUUCAUGAAGCGCUUCAUAUUUUU
rnacentral:snRNA from 1 species